CCUACGGGAGACAGCAGUGGGGAAUAUUGGACCAUGGGGGGAACCCUGAUCCAGCGACGCCGCGUGAGUGAAGAAGUAUUUCGGUAUGUAAAGCUCUAUCAGCAGGGAAGAAAGAAAUGACGGUACCUGACUAAGAAGCCCCGGCUAACUACGUGCCAGCAGCCGCGGUAAUACGUAGGGGGCAAGCGUUAUCCGGAUUUACUGGGUGUAAAGGGAGCGUAGACGGCGAUGCAAGUCUGAAGUGAAAGGCGGGGGCCCAACCCCCGGACUGCUUUGGAAACUGUAUGGCUGGAGUGCAGGGGAGGUAAGUGGAAUUCCUAGGGUAGCGGUGAAAUGCGUAGAUAUUAGGAGGAACACCAGUGGCGAAGGCGACUUACUGGACUGUAACUGACGUUGAGGCUCGAAAGCGUGGGGAGCAAACAGGAUUAGAUACCCCAGUAGUC
rnacentral:rRNA from 1 species